GUGUGACAAAAACUUUUAAGAUGUUGAUCUUAGAAAAAUCAGGAGUUGUGGGCUCUUUAGGCACAUUAUUGGACUUUACGAGCAACCAUACACAUUGCUUGAUUUCCUCUCUGUAAGAGAAGCAGUUAUGCUGGAUGUAUACAUUUGGGGAUCUAUGGAGGAGUAAGGGACACUGUAUGAAACAUACAUGUGUUUGCCAGAAAAAAAUUAGAAGUGCAAUAAUUUAUUUCUCUACUGUGGAAGGAAGAGGGCUAUUGCAGCCAAUAUUAUACUUUAACAUCAACGAUGGACUGGGAAUUAAUUCCUCUACAUCUCUCCUUUCCUUCUGGGCUAGCUCUUUCCAUAUCUAGAGAGGUGGGUCAUACCAUUUCAUGACCUGUUGUAGGAAAUGGGGUCUGGUGAAUACACCCCACUGUAUUCCACUAUGAGUUAAAUGCUUUUCUACCCCUAUGAGCUGCUCUUGGAAAUGAUAAUCUGGGUAGAGAUAGCCCUUUAUGUUUUGUCUGUCACAGAUGUUACUUUGUUUAUUGUAAAAGAAACCCAAUGCCAUUUAAAUGGCCAAACCUCACUUCACUCUUUCAGGUUUUUCUAAGCAAUCCGUUUGGACUUGCUUCCUUCCUGCAGUCUACCCUGAAUGUUCCAGAUAGUUCAGUCAUUUUCAAAGUUAUCUUCCUGAAGAAUGACUCCGGGGGUCUUUUAGAUAGCUCCUGCUUUCCCCUUUCUAACUGAAAUGUUAUUCAUAAUUUAUGUCAUAAUAUUUUAUUUCCAUUCCUUCCACAUUGGUCUGUGAAUGUAAAUCAUGUUGACUUAGCUGAUCAUGUUGACAUUAGGCAAAUUGUAAGGGAUGGAAAUAUGUCUCACCAUUAUAAUCUGUCUGAAUGUACUCUAUGCUGUUUUAUAUCUUGCAGACUUCUUACAGGACUCGCAUAUAAAUAUUAGACAAAAUAAAUUUCACAUAUUUUGAAACCUUGUAUCAACUCAUUCGGUGCUGGGCCCUAGAAAAGUAUCUGUGACGCUGUAAUUCUUGUGUCUCUCUAAUCCCUAGGUUAGAAAAGGGUUAGGGGGAACUAUUCAUAAACACAUUCAAAUAAACCAGUGGAUGUUUUGUUUACUACAUUAUUUCUACAUCGUCCUUUCCUGUUUUUCUACAACUACAAGAAAUCACAUAGAUCAACAAUUCUCAAAUUCUAUGUGUAUACCAGCCACCUGAGAUGAUCUUAACAUGUAAAUUCUGUUUCAGUGCCUCAGAGCUGGUGCCAGUGUCUGUAAGUGAGGGUAGGCAUUUCUAAGCAGAGCCUGGGUGAUACACAGAUAGUCUACAGAUCAUGUUCUCAAUAGUAAGGACAUAGACAAUGCAGGGCUUCUACUUUCCUGUAUCCCAUAACUUCAGCUUAGCACAUGAAUUUGACAAAAUGUGUUUCGUAUCUUUAUUCUCCCCACAUUUGGGGAAAGAAGUCCUUAGGUACAAAUGUGUUUGCACCAUGAUGGGAAUUAUAUAGUUAUUGAAAGAGGUAAACUGAUAUCCAGUCAUUCAGAUCUGACAAAUAACUAAUGAUAAAACCCAAUUCUGAGGAGUUCCAGUUCUGUUGAGAAUAUAGGUUGAAAUAUAAGAAGGAAAUCCAGAAAGGCUGCCAGUUACAGCCCAACUAAUGAUCUUACCAUAAUGGGAUUUUGGGGCAUAUCACAAGCAGCAAAUGGUGCCAGAGAAAUGAUACAACAAAAUGAUGAAUGGGGAUGGAGGCUUUUGUUGGUGAUGAUGACGGUAGUGGUAGUAAUGUGGUUUGUUGUUUGCUUGUUUGCUUUAAGAAAAUGAGAGGAAAACCCUUUCAGUGGCUCUUGAGAGAUCCACUCAUUAUUUACUCUUGAAUUUGUCUUAGUGUUGCUACUAAAGCAUGCCAGAUUAACUCAACUAAAGUCCUGAGACCUAGAAAAAGUUUAAUUUAAAUGCUUAAUUACAAUCAGUCUAUAAAGCGGGUUACAAUUUUAAGAUACAUCUUCUCUGUGCCUAUCUCUGAUUUCCAUUAUCAAGAUCUCAGCUCACCAGAAUCAGCAUUUAGAAAUGUGUGCUUACCAGUUGUCCCUUAACCACCUCCUGUCUCUUUAUAAAAUAAUGCUUUGCAAUUAAGGUCACUGUCUAUACCUUAAAUAUUUUUAAAUGCUAAUUGGCAAGCUCUCUACUAUGUACAGCACUGGUAAGGUAGAUAAUAAUAGGUUUUUACUGAUUAUUAAGCGGGCUCUGUUAUAGCAAAAGUCUAAGGGCUGGAGUCAACCAUGAAAGG
rnacentral:lncRNA from 1 species